rnacentral:rRNA from 1 species
AGAUUGAACGCUGGCGGCAUGCCUUACACAUGCAAGUCGAACGGCAGCACGGGGGGCGACCCCUGGUGGCGAGUGGCGAACGGGUGAGUAAUGCAUCGGAACGUGCCCGGUAGUGGGGGAUAACCCCGAGAAAUCGGGGCUAAUACCGCAUGAGCCCGGGAGGGGAAAGCGGGGGACCUGAUGAGGGCCUCGCGCUAUCGGAGCGGCCGAUGUCCGAUUAGCUGGUUGGUGGGGUAAAGGCCCACCAAGGCGACGAUCGGUAGCGGGUCUGAGAGGACGGCCCGCCACACUGGGACUGAGACACGGCCCAGACUCCUACGGGAGGCAGCAGUGGGGAAUUUUGGACAAUGGGCGAAAGCCUGAUCCAGCCAUGCCGCGUGCGGGAAGAAGACCUUCGGGUUGUAAACCGCUUUCGGCCGGGACGAAAUCGCCCGCAUGAACAGUGUGGGUGGAUGACGGUACUGGCAGAAGAAGCACCGGCUAACUACGUGCCAGCAGCCGCGGUAAUACGUAGGGUGCGAGCGUUAAUCGGAGUUACUGGGCGUAAAGCGUGCGCAGGCGGCCCUUUAAGUCAGGUGUGAAAGCCCCGGGCUUAACCUGGGAAUGGCGCUUGAAACUGGAGGGCUUGGAGUGCGGCAGAGGGGGGUGGAAUUCCUGGUGUAGCGGUGAAAUGCGUAGAGAUCAGGAGGAACACCGAUGGCGAAGGCAGCCCCCUGGGCCGCGUCUGACGCUCAGCACGAAAGCGUGGGGAGCAAACAGGAUUAGAUACCCUGGUAGUCCACGCCCUAAACGAUGUCGACUAGUUGUUGGGGGAGUUAGAUCCUUCGGUAACGCAGCUAACGCGUGAAGUCGACCGCCUGGGGAGUACGGCCGCAAGGUUAAA